CGUUCAUUACAUGACCAACUUCAAGAUGAAUUGACAUGCCUUCCUUUAAAGGGGGUAUCGUGCUAGCAUCAACUUUAUUUUUAUUAUCGUUGAUAGUCCUUUUUCUAGUGGAUUUACUUUAUGGGAGAAAGGUGUUGCUUUUUUGUAUUCUUUUCGUAGCUUUCCUGUGUGUCAAAUCAUUGGAAGCUAAAAUUAUGAUAGCAAAGUGGAAAAAUCAGAAAAGGAAAUAUCCUGAUAAAGUAAAAAAAACCGACAUCGGAUAUGUAAGUAAACGAUUCUCAUAAAUAGAUCAAAGUACAUUUCAGACAAUAAUAACGUUAACUGUCAUAUUCAUAUACCAGUACUUAAGAUUAAUAGCAGAUCAAUAUAUCUAUUUCAACCUUGAAUUUGCAAAUCAUGAAUAUAAAUAUUUUACAGACCUGUCAGUAAAUAAAUGUUAAACUUUUUUAUUAUUUGAUUUUUCAGAUGCCUCUUUGAAUGUUAUUUUAUUGCUAUACAAUGUAAAAGAAACGAUAUUACAAAAAAAAACGAGGAGGAAGUUACCAAUUGGACAAUCAAAUUGCAUAAGUAGAAGAAAACCCGAAAAUCAUGACAAACAAAAAGAAAAAACAAUGAUAGACACACCACAGUCUACAUAAAACUAAAAACUUAGUAAUAAAAACCGCACAAACAUAGUUGCUGGAAUCACAGGUGAACCGAAAUGGUACGUAGGUCCUAGUACACAAGUGUCAACCAUCCGAUAGUUUCGUUUUUGUUGCACUUCAGUGUUUCUGCUACUUUGUUGUUCACCUAUCAUAGUUGAUGUUCUUUUAGAUUCCCUCGGUUUUAUUUUGCUAUGAUAUUUCUCUCAAUCGAUUUAUGACGUAUGAACAGCAGUGUAUUACUGUUGCUUUAUAACUCACUGUAAGUUCGAACCGGGGAGAAAGUCUCAUGAUAUGAUAGUGAAGAAGAAAACCAAAAAUAUCCGUUAGGAACAUUUUAUCCGGUUUUAUUGACUUCCUCCUAUAUGAAUUAAUUUUGAAUUCGAUUUUUGUCGACUUAGCAAAACUUUUUAUGUUCAUUAUUUUCUUUUUUUUUUUACUUUUUCAGGCAGUUCAAUUAGAAGAUGAUUUGGGACCUUUUGAUAUGGAAAUUUGGAGAUGCUUUUUUACUGACACAACUAAUGGCUUCAAUAUAUGCGAACUAGAAAUAAAGCAUUUAGGACA
rnacentral:lncRNA from 1 species